GACGAACGCUGGCGGCGUGCCUAAUACAUGCAAGUCGAACGCACUCUCGUUUAGAUUGAAGGAGCUUGCUCCUGAUUGAUAAACAUUUGAGUGAGUGGCGGUCGGGUGAGUAACACGUGGGUAACCUGCCCUAAAGUGGGGGAUAACAUUUGGAAACAGAUGCUAAUACCGCAUAAAACCUAACACCGCAUGGUGUAGGGUUGAAAGAUGGUUUCGGCUAUCACUUUAGGAUGGACCCGCGGUGCAUUAGUUAGUUGGUGAGGUAAAGGCUCACCAAGACCGUGAUGCAUAGCCGACCUGAGAGGGUAAUCGGCCACACUGGGACUGAGACACGGCCCAGACUCCUACGGGAGCAGCAGUAGGGAAUCUUCCACAAUGGACGAAAGUCUGAUGGAGCAACGCCGCGUGAGUGAAGAAGGUUUUCGGAUCGUAAAACUCUGUUGUUGGAGAAGAAUGUAUCUGAUAGUAACUGAUCAGGUAGUGACGGUAUCCAACCAGAAAGCCACGG
rnacentral:rRNA from 1 species